UGUACACUGAAUAAAAAAUAUAACCAGAUAACAAGGCAAGUGUGAACUACCACAAUGUGUAUAUUGUGUUUCAGGCGCAGUAAUUGUAACAAUAGUCAUACGAUGAAUUUUGUCAGUGAUGUGGGAAUCAGAAUUUUUUAAUGUGAACGCUUUUUAUCUGAAAAAUAUUGCAGCAAUUGAUUACAAAAAUCUCUCAUUGAACUCUUCUUCGGUUCUACCUAAAGAAUCACGUUAACUAAAAAGCUGUACAAAGCAAUACCCAAGCACUGUCAAAACAUAAUUGACAAUUCAUAACAAAAUCUGUCAUAUCAUACAAAAUAAAUUCAGCUACUAGUCAUACAGUAUGACUCAUACUGUGUUAUCAUAACUUUAUAGAGCUGAUGGCCCUGGCAGCUAAUGCUCGUUCGAUAUUAACGUAUUAAUUUAGUUAAUUCGUUAAAAAUAAUAUCCAUACAAUACAUACAUACAUAUCAUGUACAUACAACCUUUAUCAGCACCAAUAGAUGUUAUUAUCACCAAAUGUCGAAAGGUUAUCAGCGAUCUCUUGUAUAUAGAAGAUGAGCGACCGCAAGAGACACGGAUGUUGUGAAUAAAAUUAAAUUUUUAACUCAAGUGGAACUUUAGGCGAAAAUGCAAGUUCAUAACAUCAUCCCUCGUGCCAUCUGUACGCUCAGCACGAGAACUCAAAUAUCCAACGCCUCCAAUAAAGCGAUCAAUCGGCGGCCUACGGCUCAAGCUUCAUUUGCUGAAGUGAUUCGCCUACGAUCACAUUUUUCACCUAUUUGCAAAUUAUACGAAGUAAAGUCCGGAUUCGGCAGAUUUGGGGCAAACUUUUCAACGG